rnacentral:lncRNA from 1 species
GUGAAGAUGUGUGCAGCAAACCACAGAUGGAGGGAGCAGGAAGAAAUGGGGCCGUUUCUAAAGAAAUUAGAUGCCGGAGGAGAAGAAGGUUCUAAGUCCCAUGGAGCUGAAGUUCCAGCUGUUGAGAGCUCCCCAAAGAGGCUGCUAGGAAUGGAACUCCAGUCCUCUGGAAGAACAAGUGCUUUAAACCAUUAAGCAUCUCUCCGACUGCAGGAACUGUUUGAAACCUUUGCAGUGGCCAAGCUCCUGCUUUCUGACCUGUUUGAGUUCCAGUCCUGACUUCCUUGGUGAUGAACAGCAGUAUGGAAGUGUAAGCCAAAUAAACCCUUUCCUCCCCAA